AAGACACUCAUACAUUUUAAUCUUCUUUUGGAACAAAGACAUCACCUAAAUCUUUUUUUUAUUUGAACAGGCGAGGAGUUCAACUUUUUCUAUUUCUUACAUUUGAUUAGCAGGUGCAACAUGGAACUUCUGCUGCUGCCAGCUGUACUGAAAGGUGCGAAAAUCUCACCUCUCCACUGGAAUUUUGAAAGAAAUCUAACAUUUAAAUGGAGGUUUAAAACUUUUCCUGUUUCACUGGCAAACAGCUGAUUAAGUUCAGAAAGAAAUUGCAGAAGCUACCUUGUUUCAGUUAGUGAGGAAGCUUUUCAAACGUGGCAGCAGCUCAGGGAGCAGCACAUCACUGCAGCAAGGCUCUGGACGAACUGAAACCAGAUACCCUAGAAGAUGCGUUUGAUGUUAUCUUUUGGAGCACUUGAAGGCCAUGGUGUAUCAGGUGAAGAUGCGACACAUAAAUCAUCUCAAGGAAUGUAUCACUAACGCCAUUACAAGCAUAACUUCAACUAUGCUAAUGCAAGUUCAUCAACAGUGGAAAACACGUAUUAUGUGUUUUCAAAACAAUGACUAUCAUAUAGAGCACAUUAUAUAAAUAAAAAUGGUUGUCCAAC
ensembl:lncRNA